UAGGGAAUAUUAACAAAGCUGGAUAUGUCAUUAAGAAUGAUUGAUGAUGGUUUGGGAGUUUGGUGAUGUUUUGAAGAGCUUUGGAGUAUUAAAGAGUUUAAAAAGAGAGAAGAAAUGCAUUAAAUGAUUUUUAUAUAUAGUAAAUGUCUUAAUAACAAACUUUAUUGUUGGUUUUAUUUUGAAAUAAUGAUUAAAUCACUGUUUCCAGAGACCCCAAUAUAAUUUUUCCUAAAUCUUCAUUACAACAGUUCAACAAUCCAUCAAAGUUUUUCAUUUCAUGUUUUAAGAAGCUAAAAAUUAGGUUUAGCAAGGGUGAAAUUUAUAGACAACAACAAUUUGAAGGAUCAAAUUGCAACAUUUAUGAAGUUUUAAACUUUAAAUGAGAUAUAUGACCUCAUUUUAGAGUCUAUUCACAAAAAUCAUGUACACAACUCAAUGUGCAAAGGAAGAAAAAAAAAAUAUAUAUAUAUAUAUAUGUAAGAAAGAGACCUUUCAUUUUGACUUGUAAUAAAUGAUACAGACUUUGGGUACCUAUUGUAACUUUAAAUGUCUGCUUGGUAAGUUUUGCAAAUACAUGCAAAGAGUUUCACAUUGCAGUAAGUCUUUGUGCAAAGGAUUUGUCAGAAAAAAUUCAGAAAUUUUCAAUCAUCUCAACCCAUAACAAUCAGUUAUUGUGAUUUUAUCAAUAUAUAUAUAUAUAUAUAUAUAUAUAUAUUAUGAGACUUUAUAUUUAAAAGCUUAAGCGCAUGUGUAUUUAGUGCAGUUCUUUAGUAUUUUAAGGUCAUUUUACACCAUAUAGUAUUUUUUGACAAAUUCAUUAUUUGAAUUUUCUACAUGUGUUAGAAAUAAGUUGUCAGUUUAUUAAUUGUGAUAUGUUCUUUUCCUUUUGAUGUUAUUUGCAGCCUUUUUGUUAAUCAAUACCAAAAUGGCAUAAAAUUAACAAAAAAAUGUAGCUUUACUUACAUAAACUUAUAUUAUUGAUUCUCUCUCUUUCUACAUAUACAUAUAUAUAUAUAUAUAUAUAUGAUUAAAGUAAAAUUUAGUGAAGUUCCUCUCAAGCAAUACCUAAAUGUCAAAAACUUUUUGCUCUACCAAUUGAAUUAUCAAAUUUCAUAAUGAUUAUACUGCUUACAAUUUAAGCAUAUUUCAAGACCACAAAAUUGAUAGAAAUAUUGAAAUUACAAUCUACUAGUUAUUAUUUUUUGUUUCUGUGGAUGUAUACUCUUCUUUUCUACUACUUGAUUUUCUUGUAGCCACAA
rnacentral:lncRNA from 1 species